GUGUGUGUGUGUGUGUGUGUGUGUGUGUGUGUGUGUGUAUAUAUAUAUAUACAUAUAUAUAUACACACACACACACACACAUACAUACACUG